rnacentral:sRNA from 1 species
GAUAAAAGCUGAAAGCAGAAGAAACACGGAAAUCAAAGAAAAACCUUCGAAAACAACAAUAACAACUCAGUAGUCCUCCUUUGAACUAACACCGACAUGCGUGACGUAAUUUGUGUAUUAUUCUAAAACAAAAUUCGAUGAAAAGUGAGCAUGUUGAAAUAAAAAAAAAAUAAUUCAUAAAAGCAUUCGAAAAUGUAAACGAAAAGCGCACGUUUGAAGCACAAGCAAAAAAAAAAAAAAA